rnacentral:rRNA from 1 species
UACAGAGGGGGCAAGCGUUGUUCGGAAUUACUGGGCGUAAAGGGCGCGUAGGCGGCGUGUCAAGUCAGGCGUGAAAGCCCCGGGCUCAACCUGGGAACCGCGCUUGAGACUGGCAUGCUCGAGUUCGGGAGAGGAUGGUGGAAUUCCCAGUGCAGAGGUGAAAUUCGUAGAUAUUGGGAAGAACACCGAUGGCGAAGGCAGCCAUCUGGACCGACACUGACGCUGAGGCGCGAAAGCGUGGGGAGCAAACAGGG